rnacentral:rRNA from 1 species
CCUACGGGUGGCAGCAGUGAGGAAUAUUGGUCAAUGGACGAGAGUCUGAACCAGCCAAGUAGCGUGAAGGAUGACUGCCCUAUGGGUUGUAAACUUCUUUUAUAAAGGAAUAAAACGAGGCACGGUUGCCUUUUGGCAUGUACUUUAUGAAUAAGAAUCGGCCAACUCCGGUCCGGCAGCCGCGGUAAUACGGAGGAUCCGAGCGUUUUCCGGAUUUAUUGGGUUUAAAGGGAGGGUAGAGGGGUUGUUAAGUCAGUUGGGAAAGUUUGCGGCUCAACCGUAAAAUUGCAAUUGAUACUGGCAGUCUUGAGUACAGUAGAGGUAGGCGGAAUGCGUGGUGUAGCGGUGAAAUGCUUAGAUAUCACGAAGAACCCCGAUUGCGAAGGCAGCUUACUA